rnacentral:rRNA from 1 species
CGCAGGUGCAUGGCAGACGGGUGAGUAACGCGUGGGGAAUCUACCUCUUUGUGGGGAAUAACGCUCCGAAAGGAGUGGUAAUACCGCAUGAGACCAAUGGCUGGAAUGUUGUUGGUGAAACCUGGGGACCGCAAGGCCUGGGGCAAGGAGAGGAUCCUGCGUCUGAUUAGCUAGUUGGCGGGGUAACGGCCCACCAAGGCGACGAUCAGUAGCCGGCCUGAGAGGGUGAUCGGCCACACUGGAACUGAGACACGGUCCAGACUCCUACGGGAGGCAGCAGUGGGGAAUUUUGCGCAAUGGGCGAAAGCCUGACGCAGCAACGCCGCGUGGGUGAUGAAGGUCUUCGGAUCGUAAAACCCUGUCGUCAGGGACGAAGGUCUGGGGGUGAAUAUCCCUUAGGCUUGACGGUACCUGGAGAGGAAGCCCCGGCUAACUCUGUGCCAGCAGCCGCGGUAAUACAGAGGGGGCAAGCGUUAUUCGGAAUUAUUGGGCGUAAAGGGCGCGUAGGCGGUUUUUUAAGUCAGAUGUGUAAUCCCCGAGCUCAACUUGGGAACUGCAUCUGAGACUGGAAGGCUAGAGUACUGGAGAGGGUGGUAGAAUUCCACGUGUAGCGGUGAAAUGCGUAGAGAUGUGGAGGAAUACCAGUGGCGAAGGCGGCCACCUGGACAGUAACUGACGCUGAGGCGCGAAAGUGUGGGUA